AGCAGCUGUCAGUAAUGAAAAUUUAACCAAGUUGGGCAAACACAAAUAUGAAAUUAUCCGUUUUGUUUAUCACGAUGCAGUUGCUAACGCUGCUGCGGGUCGUAGUCCUUGCGACGGAGGUUGCCAGUACAUUGCAGGAGGUGCUUGCGAGUGACCAGCAGGACAUUCCCCCCUACACCACAGCAUGCAUACAGAAAUGCAUCGGCAAUAAUUUCCCCACAUUCGAGGAUCUGAGGGCAGCGGAGUGUUCGCUCUUCAUGCGCGAUUUCGACUGCACCCUCUACUGCACGUUCAAUGGAAAAGGAUAAGGCUUGUUUUACACGAAAACUUUUGGCAAAACCAUAACAGAUGACAGAGAUGAAUCCGGGAGAGGCGGACUCGGUGGAGGCUGGAGGCAAGUCUCUAGAAUCAGAGGAGAAACCAUCCGGAGAACCCGAAGCAGACUCCAAGAAAGUGGAGGACUCAGAUCCUGGCACUCCAGCUGCCAUCCCUCCGUCCAGACAGCGUACUUUAACACGCACCGCCGAACUGGAUGCCGAUGGCGACGACAUGGAUCUGCUGGAUCCGGAUGCGGACGAUGCCGCUGACAGCAUCACCCUGGAACUGGCACUGUCGCCGCACAGCAGCACUCCCACUCCACCGCCCACCAUCGCCGAGGAGGACUUUGCCCAGUUGGAUAACAGUAAGCCCUUCAAGAUCAAGGACAUCACACGGAAUAUUCGCAAGGCUGUGGUGGCCAACACGCUGUCGGAGCUGCGUAUGAAGGUGUCAGCGAAAUUUCAACGUGUUCAGCCGACGAUACACCUGGAUUGCGAUGGCACCGAAAUCGACGACGAGGAGUACUUCAGCACUCUGGAGCCAAAUGCCGAACUGAUUGCCGUCUUUCCCGGCGAGCAGUGGCGCGACCCGAGUGACUAUAAUGCCAAUUUGCGUCGCACUUCUUUGGAUGCUCAGAGAUUGCGGAAGCUGGUGAGCAAACUGCAACCGAACUAUAUCAACGACGAUGACCUGGACAAGCUGUCGAACAUGGAUCCGAACUCUCUGGUGGACAUCACAGGACGCGAGCCAAAGGACAACGAAUACUCGUCCAGGAGCGAUGCUGCCCGCAGAUCCACAGAGCUGUCCUGUUAAGGAUUUUUUGUUUUGUCAUUUUUCGGGAAAUGAUAGAAAGGAUAGUUGCCUAGGGAGGGUCGCCUUUGACGGAUGUAUGUAAAUAGGGAAUUUGUACGAGUUUAUAUGCCGAGCAAGCCGACAUCUAAGAUGACGGGUAUUUUUGGAAAAAGUUUUGAUCAAUUGAAGCGGACUUGAAGCGACCGAUUUGGAUUUGGAUGGUUUUAUCUCCCUAUACGUAUGUAGAUCCAAAAGUUGUGUAUUUUUCGAGCUCACAUUGUCACCAAUAGCUAUAUAUACAACAUGAAACUGAGGAGCCUCUAAGGCAGCAAUCUAUUAGAAUCUUACCUACCUACCUAUCCCAACCUCACUGAGUGGACGGACGAUCAACGAACUUUAGAUGCAAAUAGUUAUACGUAUUCUCUCCAUUUAGAAAUAUUUGGUCAGUUAGGGGGUUACUAGGGAGCAAAAAAUAAAACAAUUUAUUGCAAUUGAAUCUCAAUUAAAUCAAUUAACAAUUGAAUAAACCUUCACACCCGGCACACUAUUUAU
rnacentral:misc_RNA from 1 species